AUUUUUCUCAUUCUCUGCUCUACGGGGGAGUUGGGGAAAACCGAAUAGAAACAGAGCAACACAAAGAGAGAGAAAGAUAGAGAUAGAGAGUGAGAAAGAUAGAGAUAGAGAGUUCGAGAGCUCAAGAUGGAGCUCACGGAUGAAGGGGACAAAAAAGAACAAGACUUGAUGAAGAGGGGUGGAUAGAAUCGAGCUGGGAAGUGGUGAUAUAGAGCUGAACAGUGGUGCCGAUGGCAGAGGUGAAAUUCUGCAGAAUCGGAUAAAUGAACGGGUGCCUCGGGAGUCGAUCGGGAGGGACCGUGAAGACUGAAACCUUGCAUUCUGAAGGGUUGACUGAAUUUGCUAUCUCUGUGGGGGAUUUUCGGUCGAAGUAGAUACACGCCGGAUCAGAAUUACCCUCGACCACCUUCGGUCGCCUCUCGAAAGCCCGAAGCAUCGUCGUCAGUCUGGGCCAACCGCUCGAGCCGUAGAACCAGCGAGCUCCCGUUCCAGGCGUUCCCUUUCCAGUCGGGUCUGUCUGGACCAUUCGGAUACCCGACUUCACAUAAUCUCUUUCGUUUGUCGAAAUCAGGUUGUACUCGGCCCAGAUCCCCUUCGGUUCGGCCCAAUCCAGCCCAGAUCUCAGCCCGGUUCGUUUCAGCAAUCCGUUCGGCCCAGUAGCCCACUCGGCCCAACAGCCCACUCGGCCCAAUUCGGAUCUCAAAGGCUCAAUUCGGCCCGAGUCCCAGUUCGGCCCAGUUCGCCCCCGUCGGCCCAAUCCAGCCCUUCGGCCCAGUUCGGCCCACACUCCAGCAGCCCAAGUUGUCUGAUGAUUUUUUUUAUUUACAGAUCUGCCCCUAUUUUCUCAAACAAGCCAUGGGACCGCUGAUCCAGCGGGAUAUAAAAGGAAUGCCUAGAUCGCUGAUCCGGCGGGAUACAAAAAUGGACGCCUAGACCACUAAUCCGGCGGGAUACAAAAAGGGACGCCUAGACCGCUGAUCCGACGAGAUAUAAAAUGGACGCCUAGACUCCUACUGCCUGAGGAUAAUGGGAAGCCGCCGCUUAUAAGACGUGGAUGUUGGGAGUUGAGGAUGAUAUAAAUGAGAUGUGUGGGGUCACAGUACCGUCAUAACUCCGUUGCGAGAAAAUGCAACCCUAUGGCUAUAUUGAUUGGUUGUGUUGUAUGUUGUUUGUUUGGUAUGAUUGUUGGAGAUGUGAUGAUUGUUGAGAUUGCUAGAGAUGUGAUGAUUGUUGAGACUGUUUAAAGUUAUUUUGUGAAAGCCGUGUUGAUGCUAGAGCUUGAUCUGUCAAGUGAUCAUGUAAUGAUUUGUUAUGGAACGCUGAAUGAAUGGAUAUUUGAUGCUUAUGUAAUAUUGGAUAUUAGAAAAAAAAUUGUUGGUAGUGCUGAGUGCAUUUGUUAGUAGAACUUGAAUUUAGUUACUAUGUUGAAUAUAAUUAUCAUUAUAAUUAUGUAUAUA